GUAAGGUUGAGAGAAAUUUGCACAGAUAAUUUUAUCCUGGUUCGGAUCACACGGAUCCUACGUCCAGUCGCUUAUCUCAAACAAGAUAAACCUUUUUCACUAUCACAAAACAAUUACAAAUAUUAAUCACAGAGAAAAACAAUUUGUAAGAGUUUAGAAAUACCACCUCUCUUGAAACCACAAGAGAUGAACUUACACCUCCUUUGAAUCUUCACAAAGGAUGACCACCUCCU
rnacentral:lncRNA from 1 species